rnacentral:rRNA from 1 species
GGAUCCAGACUUUGAUUCUGGCUCAGGACGAACGCUGGCGGCGCGCCUAACACAUGCAAGUCGAACGAGCGAGAGAGAGCUUGCUUUCUCGAGCGAGUGGCGAACGGGUGAGUAACGCGUGAGGAACCUGCCUCAAAGAGGGGGACAACAGUUGGAAACGACUGCUAAUACCGCAUAAGCCCACGGGUCGGCAUCGACCAGAGGGAAAAGGAGCAAUCCGCUUUGAGAUGGCCUCGCGUCCGAUUAGCUAGUUGGUGAGGUAAUGGCCCACCAAGGCGACGAUCGGUAGCCGGACUGAGAGGUUGAACGGCCACAUUGGGACUGAGACACGGCCCAGACUCCUACGGGAGGCAGCAGUGGGGAAUAUUGCACAAUGGGGGAAACCCUGAUGCAGCGACGCCGCGUGGAGGAAGAAGGUCUUCGGAUUGUAAACUCCUGUUGUUGGGGAAGAUAAUGACGGUACCCAACAAGGAAGUGACGGCUAACUACGUGCCAGCAGCCGCGGUAAAACGUAGGUCACAAGCGUUGUCCGGAAUUACUGGGUGUAAAGGGAGCGCAGGCGGGAAGACAAGUUGGAAGUGAAAUCUAUGGGCUCAACCCAUGAACUGCUUUCAAAACUGUUUUUCUUGAGUAGUGCAGAGGUAGGCGGAAUUCCCGGUGUAGCGGUGGAAUGCGUAGAUAUCGGGAGGAACACCAGUGGCGAAGGCGGCCUACUGGGCACCAACUGACGCUGAGGCUCGAAAGUGUGGGUAGCAAACAGGAUUAGAUACCCUGGUAGUCCACACCGUAAACGAUGAUUACUAGGUGUUGGAGGAUUGACCCCUUCAGUGCCGCAGUUAACACAAUAAGUAAUCCACCUGGGGAGUACGACCGCAAGGUUGCAACUCAAAGGAAUUGACGG